ACCAUUGAAGAAAACCAGGACUCAGUUGA
rnacentral:piRNA from 1 species